CGAACGCGAUGUGAUCGAAGCGGAACUCAACGCGGGAUUUCUAAGACUGCUGAGUGAUCCUGAUAUUACGGAGCCGCCGACGUCGCUGGAUUGCCCCAAGGAUCCGGACAGAAAAUUGCAUUUAGCCAAGCUUAACUAGAGGCCCACUAACCGAACUAGUUGAUAAGAAA